AUAGCGUAUAUUAAAGUUGUUGCGGUUAAAAAACUCGUAGUUGGAUCUCAGUUCAAGCUAUUCGGUCCACUUGCCAGUGGUUACUGUUUGGCUGAACCCUUUACCGAGUUGUCCCUUGGUGCUCUUUACCGAGUGCCAUGGGCGAACGGUACGUUUACUUUGAAAAAAUUAGAGUGCUCAAAGCAGGCGUAACGCCCGAAUAAUGUUGCAUGGAAUAAUGGAAUAGGACCUCGGUUCUAUUUUGUUGGUCUUCGGAAUCUGAGGGAAUGAUUAAGAGGGACAGACGGGGGCAUUCGUAUUGCGGCGCUAGAGGUGAAAUUCUUGGACCGUCGCAAGACGAA
rnacentral:rRNA from 1 species